rnacentral:lncRNA from 1 species
ACUGGGGCCGGGCUGGGGAAGCCGGAGGAGGCCGCCCCAGGUCUCGGUCCCUGCGGUGUCCUCCUUGGGUUCGCUCCUAAGGAGGCCAUGAGCUUGGAGGCUCUGCGGAUGCAAAAAGUGAGGGCGGUUCGGAAGCAACGAUUCACAGAGGAGGCCGGGGUAGGGUGGCGCGCAGAAUGCAAAGCACUAAGUACUUCUGCUACAGGGCUGCGGGGCAGGGCUGAGGGGCGUGGAGAGCUGUGGACACAGGAGGUGAAUUCUCGGGUAUUUAACUAAAGUACAGAUUGUGGGAAA